rnacentral:rRNA from 1 species
UACGGGGGGGAGCAAGCGUUGUUCGGAUUUACUGGGCGUAAAGGGCGCGUAGGCGGCCACCGCAAGUCGGUUGUGAAAUCUCCGGGCUUAACCCGGAAAGGUCAAUCGAUACUGCGGGGCUAGAGUGCAGAAGGGGCAACUGGAAUUCUCGGUGUAGCGGUGAAAUGCGCAGAUAUCAGGAGGAACACCGGUGGCGAAGGCGGGUCUCUGGGCCGAUACUGACGCUGAGGAGCGAAAGCGUGGGGAGCGAACAGG